rnacentral:rRNA from 1 species
AGUGGAUGACCAACAGGUUAAUAUUCCUGUACUUAGUAAAAAUCGUUUGACUAGAUGGAAUGACGGAGAAAGGUAGUGAAGCCACUUAUUGGUUGUGGUUUAAGUAUGUAGGGGGUCGAUUAGGCAAAUCCGGUCGGCGUUAACUCUGAGAUACGAAUACGAGCGCAAGCGAAGUUCAUGAUCCUCAACUUCCCAGAAAAGUUUCGCUAGGAGAUUUUUAUUAACCCGUACCAUAAACCGACACAGGUAGAUGAGGAGAGAAUCCUCAGGCGCUUGGGAGAACUCUUGUUAAGGAACUCUGCAAAUUGGUGCCGUAACUUCGGGAGAAGGCACGCCUUUGAUGGUAAUAUCACUUGCUGGUAGAGCUAUUGGAGGUCGCAGUGAAAAGGGGGUAGCGACUGUUUAUCAAAAACACAGGUCUAUGCAAACACGUAAGUGGAAGUAUAUGGGCUGACGCCUGCCCGGUGCUGGAAGGUUAAAAGGAGAGGUUAUCGCAAGAGAAGCUUUGAAUUGAAGCCCCAGUAAACGGCGGCCGUAACGAUAACGGUCCUAAGGUAGCAAAAUUCCUAGUCGGGUAAGUUCCGACCUGCACGAAUGGCGUAACGACUUCCCCACUGUCUCAACAGGAGACCCAGCGAAAUUGGUGAGCGCGUGAAGAAACGCGCUACCCGCGGAAGGACGAAAAGACCCCGUGAACCUUUACUGUAGCUUGGCAUUGAGUUUCGAUUAACAUUGCGUAGGAUAGGUGGGAGUUUUUGAUCCGUGCGUUCCGGCGUACGGGGAGACAACCUUGAAAUACCACCCUAUGUUAAUUGGAAUUCUAACCUACGAUCGUAAUCCGGUCGGGGGACAAUGUCUGGUGGGCAGUUUGACUGGGGCGGUCGCCUCCUAAAGAGUAGCGGAGGCGCACGAAGGUUCCCUCAGGCCGAAUGGAAACCGGCCAUAGAGUGUAAACGCAUAAGGGAGCUUGACUGUGAGGCAAACGAGCCGAGCAGGUGCGAAAGCAGGUGUUAGUGAUCCGGUGGUUCCGAGUGGAAGGGCCAUCGCUCAACGGAUAAAAGGUACUUCCGGGAUAACAGGCUGAUCUCCCCCAAGAGUUCACAUCGACGGGGAGGUUUGGCACCUCGAUGUCGGCUCAUCGCAUCCUGGGGCUGGAGCAGGUCCCAAGGGUUUGACUGUUCGUCAAUUAAAGCGGUACGCGAGCUGGGUUCAGAACGUCGUGAGACAGUUCGGUCUCUAUCCUCCGUGGGCGUAAGAAAUUUGAGUAAAUCUGUCCUAAGUACGAGAGGACCGGGAUGGACGAACCUAUGGUGAACCGGUUAUGACGCCAGUUGUAUCGCCGGGUAGCUAAGUUCGGAAGGGAUAACCGCUGAAAGCAUCUAAGUGGGAAGCCUAUUACAAGAUAAGAUUUCUAUUAAGACAACUUCUAGACUAGGAGUUUGAUAGGUUGGGGGUGUAAGAGCAGUAAUGCUUUGAGCUGACCAAUACUAAUUUGUCGUUCUG